AUGGCGGCGUGCUCAAUACAUCAGUCGAGCGAGAUCUUCGGAGUCUAGCGGCGGACGGGUGAGUACACGGCAACCUGCCUGUAAGACUGGGAUAACACCGGGAAACCGGUGCUAAUACCGGAUAAUCCUUUUCCUCUCAUGAGGAAAAGCUGAAAGUCGGUUUCGGCUGACACUUACAGAUGGGCCCGCGGCGCAUUAGCUAGUUGGUGAGGUAACGGCUCACCAAGGCGACGAUGCGUAGCCGACCUGAGAGGGUGAUCGGCCACACUGGGACUGAGACACGGCCCAGACUCCUACGGGAGGCAGCAGUAGGGAAUCUUCCACAAUGGACGAAAGUCUGAUGGAGCAACGCCGCGUGAGCGAUGAAGGCCUUCGGGUCGUAAAGCUCUGUUGUUAGGGAAGAACAAGUACCGGAGUAACUGCCGGUACCUUGACGGUACCUAACCAGAAAGCCACGGCUAACUACGUGCCAGCAGCCGCGGUAAUACGUAGGUGGCAGU
rnacentral:rRNA from 1 species